UGCCUCUUUCUGCAUCCAACUUGUCUUUGCCCAAAAGUAACGGCAGCAAAAGGAGACGAGACAAAAGGUCCAGGUGUGACAGUCUGACUGAUGCUACCUGGAGCUGUUUCUAGUCUAAUCUCACAUUUGAUCCCUUGGAACCGGAGCUCGUCUCUCGGCUGACCUGAUUGUGCCGGACUGUGCAGGAUGCUUUCAUAAAGGAGUCACAGCAUGUUCCUCUAUGAGACGGGCUGCCUUGGAGGAACGCUUCAUUUUACAGGAUGUGAAGGUCAAAUCUGAAUGAGGACUUCUGAAUAGCUUAACUCGCACCAAUGAUGAAGAAAGUAAUUCCAGAACAAAGCUACUGCUCAAGAGUUCCAAAGGCAAAUGAUAGUUUAGAGUGAAACCCAGAUAGAAACAUCCAGUUAUUUGGUAAAAUGGUUGUGUGAAUAAAAGCAACAUUUUUUUUGCAGA